CCGCCGGCGACCGGCGCACGGGUGAGUAACACGUAUGCGAACCUGGCCGUGACAGAUGGAUAACCGGGAGAAAUCCCGCCUAAUACAACAUAAUGCCGGGAGGGGACAUCCCCUGCCGGCCAAAGGGGGCGACCCCGGUCACGGAUGGGCAUGCGGCGCAUUAGGUAGUUGGUGGGGCAACGGCCCACCAAGCCGACGAUGCGUAGGGGUUCUGAGAGGAAGGUCCCCCACAUUGGAACUGAGACACGGUCCAAACUCCUACGGGAGGCAGCAG
rnacentral:rRNA from 1 species